AGCGAACGCUGGCGGCAGGCCUAACACAUGCAAGUCGAACGAACUCUUCGGAGUUAGUGGCGGACGGGUGAGUAACACGUGGGAACGUGCCUUUUGGUUCGGAAUAACUCAGGGAAACUUGUGCUAAUACCGAAUGUGCCCUUCGGGGGAAAGAUUUAUCGCCAUUAGAGCGGCCCGCGUCUGAUUAGCUAGUUGGUGAGGUAACGGCUCACCAAGGCGACGAUCAGUAGCUGGUCUGAGAGGAUGACCAGCCACACUGGGACUGAGACACGGCCCAGACUCCGACGGGAGGCAGCAGUGGGGAAUCUUGCGCAAUGGGCGAAAGCCUGACGCAGCCAUGCCGGGUGAAUGAUGAAGGUCUUAGGAUUGUAAAAUUCUUUCACCGGGGACGAUAAUGACGGUACCCGGAGAAGAAGCCCCGGCUAACUUCGUG
rnacentral:rRNA from 1 species